rnacentral:rRNA from 1 species
ACGUACGCUGGCGGCACGCCUAACACAUGCAAGUCGAACGAAGUAGCAAUACUUAGUGGCAGACGGGUGAGUAACAUGUAGGUAUCUGCCCUUUGGCCUGGAAUAACACGAGGAAACUUGUGCUAAUACCGGAUAAGUCUUUACAGAGAAAGCUUUAUGCACCAUUGGAUGAGCCUGCACUUGAUUAGUUUGUUGGUGGGGUAAUGGCCUACCAAGACUGUGAUCAAUAGCUGAUUUGAGAGGAUGAUCAGCCACAUUGGGACUGAGACACGGCCCAAACUCCUACGGGAGGCAGCAGUGGGGAAUCUUGCACAAUGGAGGAAACUCUGAUGCAGCGAUGCCGCGUGAGUGAAGAAGGCCUUUGGGUUGUAAAGCUCUUUCGUCGGGGAAGAAAAUGACUGUACCCGAAUAAGAAGGUCCGGCUAACUUCGUGCCAGCAGCCGCGGUAAUACGAAGGGACCUAGCGUAGUUCGGAAUUACUGGGCUUAAAGAGUUCGUAGGUGGUUGAAAAAGUUAGUGGUGAAAUCCCAGAGCUUAACUCUGGAACUGCCAUUAAAACUUUUCAGCUAGAGUAUGAUAGAGGAAAGCAGAAUUUCUAGUGUAGAGGUGAAAUUCGUAGAUAUUAGAAAGAAUACCAAUUGCGAAGGCAGCUUUCUGGAUCAUUACUGACACUGAGGAACGAAAGCAUGGGUAGCGAAGAGGAUUAGAUACCCUCGUAGUCCAUGCCGUAAACGAUGUGUGUUAGACGUUGGAAAUUUAUUUUCAGUGUCGCAGGGAAACCGAUAAACACACCGCCUGGGGAGUACGACCGCAAGGUUAAAACUCAAAUGAAUUGACGGGGACCCGCACAAGUAGUGGAGCAUGUGGUUUAAUUCGAAGAUACGCGCAGAACCUUACCAACACUUGACAUGUUCGUCGCGACUCUAAGAGAUUGGAGUUUUCGGUUCGGCCGGACGAAACACAGGUGCUGCAUGGCUGUCGUCAGCUCGUGUCGUGAGAUGUUGGGUUAAGUCCCGCAACGAGCGCAACCCUCACUUUUAGUUGCCAUCAUUAAGUUGGGCACUCUGAAAGAACUGCCAGUGAUAAGCUGGAGGAAGGUGGGGAUGACGUCAAGUCCUCAUGGCCCUUACGUGUUGGGCUACACACGUGCUACAAUGGUAUCUACAACAGGAAGCAAGACUGCGAAGUUAAGCAAAUCCCUAAAAGAUACCUCAGUUCGGAUUGCACUCUGCAACUCGAGUGCAUGAAGCUGGAAUUACUAGUAAUCGUGGAUCAGCGUGCCACGGUGAAUGCGUUCCCGGGUCUUGUACUCACCGC